rnacentral:rRNA from 1 species
CGAAAGAUGGUGAACUAUGCCUGGCCAGGAUGAAGCCAGAGGAAACUCUGGUGGAGGUCCUGAGCAUUUCUGACGUGCAAAUCGAUUGUCAGAGCUGGGUAUAGGGGCGAAAGACCAAUCGAACCAUCUAGUAGCUGGUUCCCUCCGAAGUUUCCCUCAGGAUAGCUGGUGCUCAUAUAAGUGAUUUACAUCCUGUAAAGCGAAUGAUUAGAGGUGUUCUUGGGGACGAAACGUCCUCAGCCUAUUCUCAAACUUUAAAUGGGUGAGAUGCCAAGCUUGCUUAAAUAGUGAAGCUUUGGUGAUAAAUCAAGAGUGCCAAGUGGGCCAUUUUU